GAUGAACGCUGGCGGCGUGCUUAACACAUGCAAGUCGAACGGAAAGGCUCCUGCUUGCAGGGGUACUCGAGUGGCGAACGGGUGAGUAACACGUGGGUGAUCUGCCCUGCACUUCGGGAUAAGCCUGGGAAACUGGGUCUAAUACCGGAUAGGACCACAUUUUGGAUGGUGUGGUGGAAAGUUUUUCGGUGUGGGAUGAGCUCGCGGCCUAUCAGCUUGUUGGUGGGGUAAUGGCCUACCAAGGCGUCGACGGGUAGCCGGCCUGAGAGGGUGUACGGCCACAUUGGGACUGAGAUACGGCCCAGACUACUACGGGAGGCAGCAGGGGGGAAUAUUGCACAAUGGGCGCAAGCCUGAUGCAGCGACGCCGCGUGGGGGAUGACGGCCUUCGGGUUGUAAACUCCUUUCGCUAGGGACGAAGCGUUUUUGUGACGGUACCUGGAGAAGAAGCACCGGCUAACUACGUG
rnacentral:rRNA from 1 species